AGCUUUGCUCAGUGGCAGUAUCGUAGCCAAUGAGGUUUAUCCGAGACGCGAUUAUUGCUAAUUAAAAAAAGAGCUGAAAGAAAUCACAAAUUUCAAUACUGUUUUUUUUUCUACUAAAUUUCUAGGUAUUGAUAUUUUAC
rnacentral:snRNA from 1 species